AAUCUCACAAUGUGUGCUUUGGGUGGAGAUGAGUCUACCUCCAGCUCCAAAGGAGGCAUCUGAUUUAGCCCUGAACCUCUUUUUUGACCACAAAGUUGGAUGCAUAGCCAUCUUUUCAUCACAAUGGGACAGCCUGUCUGAGAAUGAGGCCAAUGCAAAGAAGAAAGUGGAGCCCACGUACAGAGAGAUGAAACAUUGAUGAUAUCAUGUGUCCUAGAUUCAUGCUUCAUAUGAAGGAGUCCCAUUAUACCGAUACUGAAACACUGGAUAUUGCCUCACAAGUUACUGAAGUCUUGUUCGUGUCUUUUUUAUGUUUUUCAGAUUGGGUAAUUUCUAUUGAUCUGUUUUCGUUAUCAUUGACUCUGAUUUUCUUUAGCUCUCCAAUUGUCUGUAAAGACCAUUGGUCCAUUUUUCAAUUUAUAUGUUUUAAUUUGAGAUCCUAGAAUUUUCAUUUGUUUCUUUACAAAUAAUUAAUCUGUUGAUUUUCACUUUGAAAUCACUCUUUUUCUGUUAAUUUAACACAUGUGAUAUAUUGACAUUUUUAAAAUUGAUUGCUCUUUCUCUGAAUCUUGCUUAACAUUGCCCCAUUUCAUUACGCUCUUGGUAAAUUUUGAUUGUCUACUAGACAUUUUGAAUGUAUGAUGCACUGUGGACUCUGGCUUCAGUUAUCUUCCUCUGAAGUGCAUUUAUUUUUAUUUUAAUAAGUACUUAAAUUAUCGACUGAUCACAAUGAAGUUGUGCAUUCUGUGGUUUACACUUUUAGGUUUUUUUUUUUUUUUUCUUCCUUCAGAUUUCCCCUUAAUUCUAUGGUCAGUCUUUAGUCCUGGGACCUAGCCUCUACUCCUAAAGCUUACCCCGUCUGGGGUUUCAGUGGAAAACCCAAGGUGACUACCACUUGUCUAAUGGUAGUAUCCAAGCUCUGAAUUCUUUUUUUUUUUUUAACCUGUGGUAGAGAACAGCUGAAAUUUCCACUCAGCUUUUUCAGAUAUGUACUUAUUGCUCUCUUCUACGUUCUUUGGAUAUAUGUGAAAUUCAGGGUCAGCCACGAUGUGAGAGGAGUUCACAGGUAAAUUGUGGAGCCAACCCAAUGUGGCUUUCCCCUUUUCAGGACUAGUCUCUCAAUUUCCAGAUACUUUGUCAGCUGCAGUCUCUGUCCUCUAACACAGUGGUCCCCAAGCUUUUUGGCACCAGGGACUGGUGUCACGGAAGACAAUUUUUCCAUGGACUGGAGGUGGAGGCGGAGGCAGAGGCGGUGUGUGUGUGUGUGUGUGUGUGUGGUUUCUGGGUGAAACUGUUCCACUUCAGAUCAUCAGGCAUUAGAUUCUCACAAGCAGUGCGUAACCUAGGUCCCUCACAUGCACAGUUCAGAACAGGGUUCGCACUCCUCUGAGACUCCAAUGCUCUGUUAAUCUGCAGGAGGCAGAGCUUAGGCGGUAAUGCUCCUUAGCUGCUCACCUCCUGCUGUGCGCCCAGGUUCCUCACAAGCCACAGACUGGUACUGGUCCAUGGCAGCUGGGGGGCUGGCACCCCUGCUCUAGCAUACCAAACCAACCAGCCUGCAGCUUUUUACCUGAGUUUCAGCAAUCACAUACCACACAAUGAUGUGAAGUAACCCUAAAAUAAAAUCUGUAACAUACCCA